rnacentral:rRNA from 1 species
GACGAACCACACAAACGUUAUUCGGAAUUACUGGGCUUAAAGGGUGCGUAGGCGGCGCGGAAAGUUGGGUGUGAAAUCCCUCGGCUCAACCGAGGAACUGCGCCCAAAACUACCGUGCUUGAGGGAGAUAGAGGUGAGCGGAACUUAGGGUGGAGCGGUGAAAUGCGUUGAUAUCCUAAGGAACACCCGUGGCGAAAGCGGCUCACUGGGUCUCUUCUGACGCUGAGGCACGAAAGCUAGAGUAGCGAACGGG